AUUGAACGCUGGCGGCAUGCCUUACACAUGCAGGUCGAACGGCAGCGCGGGCUUCGGCCUGGCGGCGAGUGGCGGACGGGUGAGUAAUGCAUCGGAACGUGCCCAGGAGUGGGGGAUAACGUAGCGAAAGUUACGCUAAUACCGCAUACGUCCUGAGGUAGAAAGGGGGGGAUCGAAAGACCUCGCGCCCAUGGAGCGGCCGAUGUCGGAGUAGCGAGUUGGCGGGGUAAAAGCCCACCAAGGCGACGAUCCGUAGCUGGUCUGAGAGGACGGACAGCCACACUGGGACUGAGACACGGCCCAGACUCCUACGGGAGGCAGCAGUGGGGAAUCUUGGACAAUGGGGGAAACCCUGAUCCAGCAAUGCCGCGUGUGGGAUGAAGGCCCUCGGGUUGUAAACCACUUUUGGCAGGAAAGAAAUCGCCUGUGCUAAUACCACGGGCGGAUGACGGUACCUGCAGAAUAAGCACCGGCUAACUACGUGCCAGCCGCCGCCGUAA
rnacentral:rRNA from 1 species